rnacentral:rRNA from 1 species
GACGAACGCUGGCGGCGUGCCUAAUACAUGCAAGUUGAGCGAUGAAGAUUGGUGCUUGCACCAAUUUGAAGAGCAGCGAACGGGUGAGUAACGCGUGGGGAAUCUGCCUUUGAGCGGGGGACAACAUUUGGAAACGAAUGCUAAUACCGCAUAACAACUUUAAACAUAAGUUUUAAGUUUGAAAGAUGCAAUUGCAUCACUCAAAGAUGAUCCCGCGUUGUAUUAGCUAGUUGGUGAGGUAAAGGCUCACCAAGGCGAUGAUACAUAGCCGACCUGAGAGGGUGAGCGGCCACAUUGGGACUGAGACACGGCCCAAACUCCUACGGGAGGCAGCAGUGGGGAAUCUUCGGCAAUGGACGAAAGUCUGACCGAGCAACGCCGCGUGAGUGAAGAAGGUUUUCGGAUCGUAAAACUCUGUUGGUAGAGAAGAACGUUGGUGAGAGUGGAAAGCUCAUCAAGUGACGGUAACUACCCAGAAAGGGACGGCUAACUACGUG